rnacentral:rRNA from 1 species
GACGAACGCUGGCGGCGUGCUUAACACAUGCAAGUCGAGCGGAAAGGCCCUUCGGGGUACUCGAGCGGCGAACGGGUGAGUAACACGUGAGUAACCUGCCCUAGGCUUUGGGAUAACCCCGGGAAACCGGGGCUAAUACCGGAUAUGACCUGGUGCCGCAUGGUGUUGGGUGGAAAGUUUUUUCCGCCUGGGAUGGGCUCGCGGCCUAUCAGCUUGUUGGUGGGGUGAUGGCCUACCAAGGCGAUGACGGGUAGCCGGCCUGAGAGGGCGACCGGCCACACUGGGACUGAGACACGGCCCAGACUCCUACGGGAGGCAGCAGUGGGGAAUAUUGCACAAUGGGCGGAAGCCUGAUGCAGCGACGCCGUGUGAGGGAUGAAGGCCUUCGGGUUGUAAACCUCUUUCAGCAGGGACGAAGCGUGAGUGACGGUACCUGCAGAAGAAGCGCCGGCCAACUACGUG